rnacentral:lncRNA from 1 species
UGAGCAAUGAAUUCACCCAGGAUCCAUGGAAGGCUUGAGCAAAUGCUUACUUAGCAAAGUGCUAGGCACAGAGCUAAGCAAGGCAAACCAUCGAAAAGGAGAGCCGAGGGAGCUUCCCUAAGGCACGACUGACAAGUAUCCUGGAGAAACCUGAUCUUACACAGAGCACGUGGUGGCUGCUAGAGGACCAGCAGGGUCAGGAAGACAGUCACGGGGAAGAUAACAGGAAAUGAGUAAGAACCUGUGAAAGCCCUUUGACCUGAGGAGUUGCAGGAGGCUGAGAAUACCUGCUGGGAUGCUAAAGUUUAAAAAGGGUUGCUUAUGUGACUGUAACUGUGGAGUUAUGCACUGGACCUGGCUGGCUUCCCUAGUGGGUACAUAUCUGAAGAUAAUGAUAUCCGGUCUUCCAGAGUCUACCAAUAGCCAAUAGUUCCCCAGGGUCCUGUAAGUACUGACAACAAGUCAGCCGUGCCGCGACACGUGUUAAUAAGCAGAGACUCGAGCUUCCUCCAAGUUUGGACCUUAGUGGGCCGGAUGAUUUGGAACUUGGAGAACUGAGAAAUAAAAAAGACAUAGAACAUAAAGUCUCCUUCAGAUAUUAUAUACUGUAACGGUUUGGAACUUACUGGUCACUUGAAAUGUGGCCUGUGAUCUCAUUAUUUUAAAUGGAUGGAACUUGAGAAUCUCAUCCUGAGUGAGAUAACCCAGAGCCAGAAGGACACGCAUGGGUGAGAAUGUAAAGCAAGUCAGAAGCACGGGCUAGAAAUUGCUCACUCUGAAGAGGACUCGCAGUCUGACUCUUCUCCAGUGCGGUGCAGUUUCAGAUGACCCAAGGAGCUGAAGGAUCUCUUUAACACUCUCAGGCCAGGGGUGUGAUUUUGCCAGCUGAAGGCAGUUUACAUUCGGAGUUCCGCGGACUCUUCAGAGGCUGUAAAAAUGCCGGAGUCACGAAAGCCUGCAAAGAGCUGUUGCUUGCCUUGCUGCUGCUGCUGCUACUGCCGUCCCUGCCCGUGCUGCAGCUGCUACUCCUGCUGCUGCUGCUGCUGCUUGUUGCUGAUUGUUGCGGUUGCUGGUUGCUGUUUACUGUUUGCUGCCGGCUGGAUUGCUGGAUUGCUGAUUGCCAGUCGGCGAAAUCCUGGCGAUGAAGAUCCAACUUGCCCCAAGAAACAAGACGACCCUAAGAAGUAGUCUAAUGAUUUCAAUACGCCCUUUCCCCCUCUGACCUUUCUCUCUUACCUUAUGCUGGGGGAUUGGAAGGGUGGCAGAAAAAAGAACCCAAUAAAGUAGCCAAAAGUAAAGUUACUUUGUGGCUUAUUAUUCUUGUUCUUUCAGUGUCUUUCUAAAAAUAAUCUAUACAUUUUAUUUGUUCCCUUCACUCUUUCCUUCUUUUAGACCUAAUACUUGGGUGUUAAGCAAAGAAUAGUGAGGGUUUUUUUUUCUAGAUUGUUUUUAUUCUGAUAUGAAAGAUGCUAUGUAUAAUUAAAAGCAAACUUUAUUGAGAGUAGGGACUCAAAUUACCCAGAGAAAGGAGUUUCUCCAUUAGCACAGAAUAAACUUCUUUCAUCUAUGGUUUGUGGGUCAUGGGAAGAGUUAAGUCUUGACAACUCAAGGAUUUUUCUCUGUGUGCAA